UGCUAAGGACUGAGAAGAGCAACUGUCCAGUGGUGACAGCGAUUUCCACAGCAUCAGCUCAGCUUCACAGGGGUCACGGGGGUUAACACGAUUUCUCUUUUUUUCAUAUACUUAUUAGGAUCAGAGAUUCCAAACAUGUAAGUUGCAGACUCCUGAGAGCACGCCUGGUUAGGCCAGCAGAUGCCUGCAGCCAAGUCACGUCUAGCCAGCUCGUUUCUGGAUGAAAAACUUGAAGAGUCUCCUGGUGCUAAAUCUCUUGCCAGAAAUUUCACAAGAUCAAGACAGACGUGUUCAGACUUCAGUCCUGGAUGUACACAUCAGCAGAAAGAGACAAGUGGACUCCAGCUUCUGUUCUGAGCACCUGGAGGAAUGGCCCUGGCUGCAGCUGAAACAGGGAAGGCUGACGGAUGAACAGGCUGGCGGGAAAAUAUGGAGACACCUCAAGGAACUAGGACUGGAAGUCCCAGUUGACCCCCCUAUUCCCCUGCUGGGGAUCUUCCCCAAAGAAUUAAAAGAAUCAUACCACAGUGAUAUAUGUGCACCCAUGUUCAUAGCAGCGCAGUUUGUAAUAGCUAAAACUUGGAAACAGCCCAAAUGCCCAUCAACUGGAA
rnacentral:lncRNA from 1 species